GGUUAACCGAAUAGGGGAGCCGAAGGGAAACCGAGUCUUAACUGGGCGUUAAGUUGCAGGGUAUAGACCCGAAACCCGGUGAUCUAGCCAUGGGCAGGUUGAAGGUUGGGUAACACUAACUGGAGGACCGAACCGACUAAUGUUGAAAAAUUAGCGGAUGACUUGUGGCUGGGGGUGAAAGGCCAAUCAAACCGGGAGAUAGCUGGUUCUCCCCGAAAGCUAUUUAGGUAGCGCCUCGUGAAUUCAUCUUCGGGGGUAGAGCACUGUUUCGGCUAGGGGGUCAUCCCGACUUACCAACCCGAUGCAAACUGCGAAUACCGAAGAAUGUUAUCACGGGAGACACACGGCGGGUGCUAACGUCCGUCGUGAAGAGGGAAACAACCCAGACCGCCAGCUAAGGUCCCAAAGUCAUGGUUAAGUGGGAAACGAUGUGGGAAGGCACAGACAGCCAGGAUGUUGGCUUAGAAGCAGCCAUCAUUUAAAGAAAGCGUAAUAGCUCACUGGUCGAGUCGGCCUGCGCGGAAGAUGUAACGGGGCUAAACCAUGCACCGAAGCUGCGGCAGCGACACUAUGUGUUGUUGGGUAGGGGAGCGUUCUGUAAGCCGUUGAAGGUGUACUGUGAGGUAUGCUGGAGGUAUCAGAAGUGCGAAUGCUGACAUAAGUAACGAUAAUGCGGGUGAAAAACCCGCACGCCGGAAGACCAAGGGUUCCUGUCCAACGUUAAUCGGGGCAGGGUGAGUCGACCCCUAAGGCGAGGCCGAAAGGCGUAGUCGAUGGGAAACAGGUUAAUAUUCCUGUACUUGGUGUUACUGCGAAGGGGGGACGGAGAAGGCUAUGUUAGCCGGGCGACGGUUGUCCCGGUUUAAGCAUGUAGGCGGAGGUUCCAGGUAAAUCCGGUACCUUAUUAACGCUGAGGUGUGAUGACGAGGCACUACGGUGCUGAAGUAACAAAUGCCCUGCUUCCAGGAAAAGCCUCUAAGCAUCAGGUAACACGAAAUCGUACCCCAAACCGACACAGGUGGUCAGGUAGAGAAUACCAAGGCGCUUGAGAGAACUCGGGUGAAGGAACUAGGCAAAAUGGUGCCGUAACUUCGGGAGAAGGCACGCUGAUAUGUAGGUGAAGUGAUUUACUCAUGGAGCUGAAAUCAGUCGAAGAUACCAGCUGGCUGCAACUGUUUAUUAAAAACACAGCACUGUGCAAACACGAAAGUGGACGUAUACGGUGUGACGCCUGCCCGGUGCCGGAAGGUUAAUUGAUGGGGUUAUCCGUAAGGAGAAGCUCUUGAUCGAAGCCCCGGUAAACGGCGGCCGUAACUAUAACGGUCCUAAGGUAGCGAAAUUCCUUGUCGGGUAAGUUCCGACCUGCACGAAUGGCGUAAUGAUGGCCAGGCUGUCUCCACCCGAGACUCAGUGAAAUUGAACUCGCUGUGAAGAUGCAGUGUACCCGCGGCAAGACGGAAAGACCCCGUGAACCUUUACUAUAGCUUGACACUGAACACUGGUCCUUGAUGUGUAGGAUAGGUGGGAGGCUUUGAAGUGUGGACGCCAGUCUGCAUGGAGCCAUCCUUGAAAUACCACCCUUUAAUGGCUGGUGUUCUAACGUAGACCCGUAAUCCGGGUUGCGGACAGUGUCUGGUGGGUAGUUUGACUGGGGCGGUCUCCUCCUAAAGAGUAACGGAGGAGCACGAAGGUUAGCUAAUCCUGGUCGGACAUCAGGAGGUUAGUGCAAAGGCAUAAGCUAGCUUGACUGCGAGAGUGACGGCUCGAGCAGGUGCGAAAGCAGGUCUUAGUGAUCCGGUGGUUCUGAAUGGAAGGGCCAUCGCUCAACGGAUAAAAGGUACUCCGGGGAUAACAGGCUGAUACCGCCCAAGAGUUCAUAUCGACGGCGGUGUUUGGCACCUCGAUGUCGGCUCAUCACAUCCUGGGGCUGAAGUAGGUCCCAAGGGUAUGGCUGUUCGCCAUUUAAAGUGGUACGCGAGCUGGGUUUAGAACGUCGUGAGACAGUUCGGUCCCUAUCUGCCGUGGGCGCUGGAGAAUUGAGGGGGGCUGCUCCUAGUACGAGAGGACCGGAGUGGACGCAUCACUGGUGUUCGGGUUGUCAUGCCAAUGGCAUUGCCCGGUAGCUAAAUGCGGAAGAGAUAAGUGCUGAAAGCAUCUAAGCACGAAACUUGCCCCGAGAUGAGUUCUCCCUGACUCCUUGAGAGUCCUGAAGGAACGUUGAAGACGACGACGUUGAUAGGUCGGGUGUGUAAGUGUAGCGAUACAUUGAGCUAACCGAUACUAAUGAACCGUGAGGCUUAACCUU
rnacentral:rRNA from 1 species